AACGAACGCUGGCGGCGUGCCUAACACAUGCAAGUCGUGCGAGAAAGUUCCUUCGGGAGCGAGUAAAGCGGCGCACGGGUGAGUAACACGUAGGUAACCUGCCCCCCAGUCUGGAACAACUAGAGGAAACUCUAGCUAAUGCCGGAUGAGACCACGAUCCCUUCGGGGGUUGCGGCCAAAGAUGGCCUCUACUUGUAAGCUAUCGCUGAGGGAUGGGCCUGCGGGCCAUUAGCUUGUUGGUGAGGUAACGGCUCACCAAGGCUGUGAUGGCUAGCUGGUCUGAGAGGAUGACCAGCCACACUGGGACUGAGACACGGCCAGACUCCUACGGAGGCAGCAGUGGGGAAUAUUGCGCAAUGGCGAAAGACCUGACGCAGCGACGCCGCGUGGGU
rnacentral:rRNA from 1 species